AUUGAACGCUGGCGGCAUGCCUUACACAUGCAAGUCGAACGGCAGCACGGGUGCUUGCACCUGGUGGCGGGUGGCGAACGGGUGAGUAAUACAUCGGAACAUGUCCUGUAGUGGGGGAUAGCCCGGCGAAAGCCGGAUUAAUACCGCAUACGAUCCACGGAUGAAAGCGGGGGACCUUCGGGCCUCGCGCUAUAGGGUUGGCCGAUGGCUGAUUAGCUAGUUGGUGGGGUAAAGGCCUACCAAGGCGACGAUCAGUAGCUGGUCUGAGAGGACGACCAGCCACACUGGGACUGAGACACGGCCCAGACUCCUACGGGAGGCAGCAGUGGGGAAUUUUGGACAAAGGGCGAAAGCCUGAUCCAGCAAUGCCGCGUGUGUGAAGAAGGCCUUCGGGUUGUAAAGCACUUUUGUCCGGAAAGAAAUCCUUGGCUCUAAUACAGUCGGGGGAUGACGGUACCGGAAGAAUAAGCACCGGCUAACUACGUG
rnacentral:rRNA from 1 species